rnacentral:rRNA from 1 species
GACACUGCAAUCGCUUCGACGACAUUCCGCAAGGUUGUCUAGGAGUGUUGUUGUUGUGCUCGUUGGAUGCAUUUGCGUGCGGAGUGCGCCGAGUGGGUCGAUGUCGCUGCCGGAAGGGCGUAUAGAGGACUCGGGUUUUCGGACUCGAGAAUCCUGUGCGUUCGGAUAGCAGGUGAUGUUGGCUCGCUGUUGUGGAGUGCGGGUGAAUCUCGCGAUGGGCGUCGUGUUGUGAGUUGUGGUUGCGGAU